rnacentral:rRNA from 1 species
ACCUCAAGUCAUGUGAGAGUACCCGCUGAACUUAAGCAUAUCAAUAAGCGGAGGAAAAGAAACUAACAAGGAUUCCCCUAGUAACGGCGAGUGAAGCGGGAAGAGCACAAAUUUAAAAUCUACCUGGUUUCCAGGUCGAGUUGUAAUUUGAAGAAACGUUUUUGACAUUUCGGGUUGGGAUAAAUCCUUUGGGAUGAGGUAUCAUGGAGGGUGAGAAUCCCGUGUAUACCAACCGCGGGGAUGUUAUUUAAUACGUUUUCUAAGAGUCGAGUUGUUUGGGAAUGCAGCUCUAAUGGGUGGUAAAUUUCACCUAAUGCUAAUAUAAGCGAGAGACCGAUAGCGAACAAGUACCGUGAGGGAAAGAUGAAAGAACUUUGAAAGAGAGUUAAAUAGUACGUGAAAUUGUUGAAAGGGAAACGAUUGAAGUCAGUCAUGCCGGCGGGAAUCAACUUAGGGGAAACUUUAAGUGCACUUCACGUUUGGCAGGUUAGCGUCGAUUUUGGAUAUCAUAAAAUGAUUGGGGGAAGGUAGCUCCUUCGGGAGUGUUAUAGCCCUUGAUAGAUGUGAUGUCUGGGAUCGAGGAUUGCAACGGAUACCCUUUGGGCUAGCCGCCUGAUCUCUAACUGGUGUUGGGUUACGGACAGCAUGCUGACUGUGAUCUAAUUACUGGUUAAAAGGUUAGAGCGAGUGUAAAUUCGUUAAGGAUGCUGACGUAAUGGCUUUAAACGACCCGUCUUGAAACACGGACCAAGGAGUCUAACAUGUAUGCGAGUGUUAGGGUAUUAAACCCAGACGCGAAAUGAAAGUGAGUGUAGGUGGGAUCCUUUAUUGGAGCACCAUCGACCGAUCUUGAGAUUUAUCGAUAGAAUUGAGUUAGAGCAUACCUGUUGGGACCCGAAAGAUGGUGAACUAUGCCUGAAUAGAGCGAAGCCAGAGGAAACUCUGGU